rnacentral:piRNA from 1 species
UGGAGACCAAGAGCCAAGGGUGGUA